rnacentral:lncRNA from 1 species
AUGAGUUCAAAAUCUAAGAAAGACAGAGAUGCUAAUAUCUGGAAAAAAAGGGCUAACCAUUUAAAAGGCAAAUGUCAAAAAGAAAAAGACACGUAUGCCAGCCAGAUUGACCAAAAACUCCAUCCAAUGAUUGAUGGAGUUGCAAAACUUCAAACAGAGCUUGAAUACUAUAAAAAACAACAUACAGUCAAUAAGAAACAGAUCGAGGAUCUAACUGAAGAAAACAAUGAACUUAGGCAGAAUAAUAAGAUGCUGUCUUUGAUCAUGGAUGACAGGACCGAUAUCUGUGACAGGUUAAACUCGAUAAAAGAUGACCACGAAGCUCUCAUAAAGUUCCGCGCAGAGACAAAGAAAACUCUGGCUGAACUUAAAAGGAAACAUGAGGAAGAAGUUAAAGUACUACAAGCACUGCUGGAAACGGAAAAAGAAAAGUUUGCACGUCAGGAAUUUCACAACAGCCAAGUCGUUGACUUACUGGUGAAACGCCACAAAGAGGAGAAAAAUCAGAUGCAGCAACUUCAUGAUGAAAAUACAUCAGAACUCACACAGAAAGCUUAUGCUGCAAGAAUAAAGUUAAAAACCGCCAUAGGAAUUUAUGAUAAAUAUAUUGAAAAGCUUGAGAAGAAAGUGGAAAUUCGUAAACAUGUGACCAUCAGUGCAGUUAAAGAACGCGAAGCGGAACGUGAAUCCUCGAAGUAUUGGAUCGAGGGCCUUUAUAUACAAAAUACAAACCUAAGGGACCAAAACGAACUGAAAGUUAAAACUGUGAAAGAGUUAACAGACGAGAAUGAUCAAAUGGGGAAGAUCAUCAACGAACAAAAGGCCCAGCAUAUGGAGUUAGAUCGCAAAUGUCAGAGAUAUUUUAGGGCUCUGGCAUUUGAAAAGAAAAUGAAGGCUACGGUCGAAGAUGAACUUGUUUCUCUGAAAAAGAAAAAUGCCGACCUAAAAAAGGCCCUAAGCAAAGAAAAGGAAGAACACAGAAAGACAGCAUUGGACAGGCAUAAAGUGAAAACGGCACACAAUAAGGCACUGAGUGAAAAGGUCUCACUGGAAGAGCAACUGUGCUCCACAAAAAAGCAAACAAAAAUAUGGAUAGAAAAAACGAAUAGGCUGGAGAAGAAAGAGCGCCACUUCCAAGAGGAAUUGUAUCAGUGCGUUUUGUCUUUUGGAAAGGCAUUUCCGCAUGCAACUCACUUCAGAGAAGAAGAAAAGGUGGAAUUUAGGGAUAUGUUCCUCAACUUGAAAAAGAAAUACGUAGACGGAGUGGAAGGCAUCCCCUUUGUUGGAAUAACGAAGGAGAAUCUUGAAAAACAGCUGAAUAGUCUACGUACCACAUGCAAGCAUCUAGAGACAGCUUUACAAGCGAAAAAACAGGAGCUUGUAUCGUUUCAAAAGAAGUACAAUGAUAUGGUAAAGUCUUUUGAACACACUUUAUUCAAAGAAAGACAGGAGCUCGUUGAACCAAUGAACCAGAUUAUCAAAAAGGCUUACGAUGAAGAAAAAGAGAUAGGUCAUCUAAAAUCUAGAAUGAAAGACGUUCAACUCGAGCUUAAAUUAGAAAAACAGAAAGGACAAAAGCUCGCAUUGUUGGUCCAUGGAAGCGGGAUGGGGAGAUGUUAUGGGGCGACUCCGACUCCGUCUCAGAUCUUUCCACGGAUUAAACCUCGUCCACCUCUGGUGCAAACUAAAUAUACUCAAGUGCUUCCAAAACACCCUGGCAGACGUGUAGGAAUGCCUUCCCCAGUGUAUCCCCCUCUGUAG